AGUGAAUGAUAUCCAAUGUGUCCCUUUUGGGUACAAGCAGCAUAAGAUCCUCCGGUGGUCCAGUUAGCGAAUAAUCUGUGGCUCUGCUCUCUGUAUGGUGAAGAUAAGAGUUUCCCUUAAAAGCUUCAAACUGCACUGAGGGAUGAGAUGAAGAGCAGAUAAUCCCUGCAGGAGGAUAAGACUUAACUGCGGAAACAAUGUGGCUGUACGGUUGGCAAACCAGCACACACUCACAAACAUGCGCGCACACACACAUGCACGCACACUUCACAGGAGAAUUGAUUGACUAUUCUGUCUCAAUACAUCUCUCCUUCUGUUACUUAGCAACCGGUGCCUGAGAGGAUACCGAUGCUGGAGAAGUUGUACUCCUGUGCAUUUUCAGUUAAUAAAGAGAUAUGACAAAU